CACGCCGUAAACGUUGGGAACUAGGUGUGGGGUCUUAUCAACGGACUCCGUGCCGAAGCUAACGCAUUAAGUUCCCCGCCUGGGGAGUACGGCCGCAAGGCUAAAACUCAAAGGAAUUGACGGGGGCCCGCACAAGCGGCGGAGCAUGUUGCUUAAUUCGAGGCAACGCGAAGAACCUUACCUGGAUUGAACUACGCAGGAAAAGCCACAGAGAUGUGGUGUCCUUCGGGGUCUGCGAUAGGUGG
rnacentral:rRNA from 1 species